GAUGAAGAACGUAGCGAAAUGCGAUAAGUAAUGUGAAUUGCAGAAUUCAGUGAAUCAUCGAAUCUUUGAACGCACAUUGCGCCCGUCAGUAUUCUGGCGGGCAUGCCUGUUCGAGCGUCAUUACGCCCCUCAAGUCCCCUGCGGACUUGGUGUUGGGGAUCGGCGAGGCUGGUUUUCCAGCACAGCCGUCCCUUAAAUUAAUUGGCGGUCUCGCCGUGGCCCUCCUCUGCGCAGUAGUAAAACACUCGCAACAGGAGCCCGGCGCGGUCCACUGCCGUAAAACCCCCCAACUUUUUAUAGUUGACCUCGAAUCAGGUAGGACUACCCGCUGAACUUAAGCAUAUCAAUAAGCGGAGGA
rnacentral:misc_RNA from 1 species